UGCUAAUUUGAUGUGCAAUUUAAGAAAC
rnacentral:sRNA from 1 species